UGGUGUAGCUCAAUUGGUAGAGCAGCUGACUUGUAAUCAGCAGGUUGGGGGUUCAAGUCCUCUUGCC
rnacentral:tRNA from 1 species